AAAACGUAUUCUAUGAUGUUCGAGGAGGAACCAAACAGGGUGUGCACGAGAUUUUCCCAGUAGAACAGGUAUUUGAAUCGUUUUGCUCCGAUAUUUUCUUCUUCUUUUGAGAAUUUACUCCGUUAUUUUUCUGACAGCUUGCUGUUUAAGUCCGGCCUAUACGGGCCUGCUUGAAUGGGAAAAAUUAGACUAGGCAGGCCCAGACACUCUUCGGCCUUUAUGGGCUGGGCUUUUCUUUAGCACUGGUGGAAGCGCGGGAAACUAAUCCGGUGCGCGCUAAACGAAACGAGGCUCCCACCCACGGUGUGCCUCGCCAGUUGUGGGACCCACGGCACCUCUAAACCUGAACCUGUCGAAAUCGGUUAGCUUUCGAUUGUUUGCGCACACCGAUGGGGAUCCCCAAUCUUCUCCGCUUCCUUAAGCCGUUCAUCGAGCCCGUGCACAUCAAGAAGUACGCCGGCAAGCGGGUCGGCAUUGAUGCCUACUCCUGGCUCCACAAAGGAGGUUCGGUUCUAUUGUAUAGUAGCUGCAAUGUAUAGCUGAUAGGGAUUCCUUGUUGGAGAUCACCGGGAUUCCGAUCGCCGGCGAGCUCCAGAGAACACACACAAGAACACGGUGGA